rnacentral:rRNA from 1 species
GGUUGUUGCUGGCUCUUUUGGGGCAUGUGCACACCUUUUACCUUUCUUUCCACCUGUGCACCCUUUGUAGGCAGAGCCUAUGAUUUUACAUACUCAAUUAACAUAUAUGAUGGUGGCUCUUAAUAUACAUACAACUUUCAACAAUGGAUCUCUUGGUUCUCGCAUCGAUGAAGAACGCAGCGAAAUGCGAUAAGUAAUGUGAAUUGCAGAUCUCAGUGAAUCAUCGAAUCUUUGAACGCACCUUGCGCCCUUUGGUAUUCCAAAGGGCAUGCCUGUUUGAGUGUCAUUAAAUUCUCAAAGCUCUGCUUUGGAUUUGAAGACUGCUGGCUUACUCCAGAGCCAGCUUCUUUGAAAUGCAUUAGUAGGAUCAUCAUGCUGGAUCGAUACAGGUGUGAUAAGGUAUCACCAUCUGAGAUUAGGCAAGAAAACCUGCUCAUAAUGACCCUUUGGUAUUUGACCUUUGACCUCAAAUCAGGUAAGACUACCCGCUGAACUUAAGCAUAUC